GAUGAACGCUGGCGGCGUGCCUAAUACAUGCAAGUCGAGCGAACGGACGAGAAGCUUGCUUCUCUGAUGUUAGCGGCGGACGGGUGAGUAACACGUGGAUAACCUACCUAUAAGACUGUGAUAACUUCGGGAAACCGGAGCUAAUACCGGAUGAUAUUUUGAACCGCAUGGUUCAAAAGUGAAAGACGGUCUUGCUGUCACUUAUAGAUGGAUCCGCGCUGCAUUAGCUAGUUGGUAAGGUAACGGCUUACCAAGGCAACGAUGCAUAGCCGACCUGAGAGGGUGAUCGGCCACAAUGGAACUGAGACACGGUCCAGAAGCCUACGGGAGGCAGCAGUAGGGAAUCUUCCGCAAUGGGCGAAAGCCUGACGGAGCAACGCCGCGUGAGUGAUGAAGGUCUUCGGAUCGUAAAACUCUGUUAUUAGGGAAGAACAUAUGUGUAAGUAACUGUGCACAUCUUGACGGCACCUAAUCAGAAAGCCACGGCUAACUACGUG
rnacentral:rRNA from 1 species